GUGCAGCAGGCGCGAAUACUUUACAAUGUGCGAAAGCACGAUAAGGGAACUCUGAGUGCCUCCUAAGGAGGCUGUUCAGGUGUCUAAAGAGCACCUGAAGGAAGGGCUGGGUAAGACCGGUGCCAGCCGCCGCGGUAACACCGGCAGCCCAAGUGGUAGCCACGUUUAUUGGGUCUAAAGCGUCCGUAGCCGGCUGGGUAAGUUCCUUGGGAAAUUUGGCUGCUUAACAGUCAAGCUUUCAGGGAAUACUGCCCGGCUUGGGGACCGGGAGAGGUCAGAGGUACUCCAGGGGUAGGGGUGAAAUCCAUUAAUCCUUGGGGGACCACCGGUAGCGAAGGCGUCUGACCAGACCGGGUCCGACGGUGAGGGACGAAGGCUAGGGGGCGCGAACCGGGAUUAGAUACCCCUGUAGU
rnacentral:rRNA from 1 species